GAUGAACGCUGGCGGCGUGCCUAAUACAUGCAAGUCGAGCGAACAGAUAAGGAGCUUGCUCCUUUGACGUUAGCGGCGGACGGGUGAGUAACACGUGGGUAACCUACCUAUAAGACUGGAAUAACUCCGGGAAACCGGGGCUAAUGCCGGAUAAUAUUUAGAACCGCAUGGUUCUAAAGUGAAAGAUGGUUUUGCUAUCACUUAUAGAUGGACCCGCGCCGUAUUAGCUAGUUGGUGGGGUAAUGGCUUACCAAGGCAACGAUACGUAGCCGACCUGAGAGGGUGAUCGGCCACACUGGAACUGAGACACGGUCCAGACUCCUACGGGAGGCAGCAGUAGGGAAUCUUCCGCAAUGGGCGAAAGCCUGACGGAGCAACGCCGCGUGAGUGAUGAAGGUCUUCGGAUCGUAAAACUCUGUUAUUAGGGAAGAACAAAUGUGUAAGUAACUGUGCACGUCUUGACGGUACCUAAUCAGAAAGCCACGGCUAACUACGUGCCGGCAG
rnacentral:rRNA from 1 species